CUGCAGCGAUUAAGCCAACCUGCUCCUUUCCUCGUCAGGGGCUGGUGUGCAGUGGCUGCAAACAGCAGCCUCCUUGGUAGUAUACACAGCCCAUUGCUUGUAUGGGUUGCCCUAAGAGACCUUGGAGACAGCU